AAUCCAUAGGUUAAUGAGGCGAACCGGGGGAACUGAAACAUCUAAGUACCCCGAGGAAAAGAAAUCAACCGAGAUUCCCCCAGUAGCGGCGAGCGAACGGGGAGGAGCCCAGAGCCUGAAUCAGCAUGUGUGUUAGUGGAAGCGUCUGGAAAGGCGCGCGAUACAGGGUGACAGCCCCGUACACAAAAGCGCAUGUGCUGUGAGCUCGAUGAGUAGGGCGGGACACGUGGUAUCCUGUCUGAAUAUGGGGGGACCAUCCUCCAAGGCUAAAUACUCCUGACUGACCGAUAGUGAACCAGUACCGUGAGGGAAAGGCGAAAAGAACCCCGGCGAGGGGAGUGAAAAAGAACCUGAAACCGUGUACGUACAAGCAGUGGGAGCACCCUUUGGGGUGUGACUGCGUACCUUUUGUAUAAUGGGUCAGCGACUUAUAUUCUGUAGCAAGGUUAACCGUAUAGGGGAGCCGGAGGGAAACCGAGUCUUAACCGGGCGUUAAGUUGCAGGGUAUAGACCCGAAACCCGGUGAUC
rnacentral:rRNA from 1 species